CUGGCCACUUCCACAGACUUGUGCCAAUUUUGAAGAGUCUCAUAGUUUCUUCUGGAUUGAGCUGCUGUUAUCGAUUCAUGUCUGGUAUUUUGGACUGGACUGCUGGAUUCCUGACAAUCAAGAUUGGAAUCAUCCCAAAGAACUACUUUUAAACAGGCUUCUACAGAGCUCAAUGAAACCCACUUCAGAACUUCUUGCCAAGCUCUGCCGGAUGCCCAGCUGACUUUCUAGUGCACCACUCUGGUGGUCCGGCAUAUCCUGUUGUGCCACAUUGAUUUUCUAGAGUCUGGAGAAAUUUCAAGGGGUGCUUGCUAGUGAAUGCCAGAGGCAUUCUAAGGAAAUCUUCUCAGGUGAUUCCUAGCUUCUUGCAAGUUUUAUGGACAUUCACAAUCAACUGUCUGACCAUCAUCAUGAAUCUACAGGACUUCAAUCACAAAGUCUCCAUCUGCCUUCGUGAGCUGUUUAUAAAUAUAUCCAGUGAGUCUCAGCACCAUUUUUGACGAACCACCAGAAACCAGAUUCUUCUCAGUAUUUCAGAAACGUCAACACUUUUGUGAUGUCUGGUCUUGGCACAGUGGCUCUGAUUACUGGGUCCAUUACAAAAUGACUGGUGGUCAAAUAUCUUAAACCAUGUGAAUUGGCUGAGCAAAGAAAUCAGCUGGUCUCAUCAGCAGGAAAGAACACAGUUUAAAACUGAGAAACUCAUGCAAUUUGAAGGAUUUGAGGAGUGUUUUUCAUUUACUCAUUGGAUAUCUCAAGUUAAAAGGAUUUAAAGCAAGCCUGAAAAUAAUGUGGAGUUUUGAAAAGGAGAAUGAUUUAGAAGAACAGAAUGUUCAGAUAGCAUUCAAGGUGCAACCUUACAGAUGACUUGUUAAGGAAAAGAGAAGAGCAUUCGUUUGUAGUGUAUGAAAAACUUUACCAAAUGACCAAGUCCUCAGAAAACAAGCCUUUGCAAAGACGAGUGCUGUGGAUGUGUACAAAGGCAGUCAAGCGAGAAGAGAAAGCAGCCUUGUCUACAGCAAGGGACAGAAUCUGCGCGUCUGGUUUCUAAGUGAGGGGUUUGAUGGACAAAACAGCUGGUGUUACAGGAGCAGAAAAUCAUAACAAGUUAGCCCUAACAAUCCCCUGAAUCAAGGGCAUGUUUGUAAAGUGGGCACAUCACGAACUGGCUUUACAGUCAGGAACCGGUUUUACUGAUAACACCCAUAGGCAACAGGGACCCGUGCGUCUGUUGCAAUGACAAUUGACAUACGUUUGCACAGUCCACCUGGCCCACCUCUACCUUCUAGUGGUUACAUCACUGCCCAAAUAAAAGGCAGACUUUUCCUAACCUUUGCCCCUUUUUUGCUUUUUCCCCCUUCAUCUCUGUUCUUCUUUGCUACCCUCCCCCUCCCAUAAUAAACCUCUCAUGUGGAACUGUA